UUGGUUUUGCAUUUUUUUAAAAAGAAGAAGGUUAAUGGACAUGCAUCUCAGUUAAUCUGAUUGAUUGCUUUCAGCCUUGAGAAGAGGGUCAACAAAAAAGUUAUGGCAAUGUUCGAGAAAGCUGAAGAUGAAUACAAUGACUUAUUAUCCAAGAAAAACAUCAUUGAGAAUGAUAAGUCAAAAAUCAAGAAGGUGAUUGAAGAGCUUGAUGAAAAGAAGGAAACACUAAAAGUUACUUGGGUUAAAGUGAACAAGCUGACAAACUAAAGAAGUCAGUGGAGGAUGAAAGUGAUCUU